GUCCACUGAACCUUAUCAUUUAGAGGAAGGAGAAGUCGUAACAAGGUUUCCGUAGGUGAACCUGCGGAAGGAUCAUUGUCGAGACCCGCAAGGCAGACCCGCGAACGCGUUCCACAGCUCACCCGGGAGGACGACGCCCAGCGUCGGAUUCCCGUUCCGUCGGCGCUCGCGUCGCACGGCCCAACGAACCCCGGCGCGAAAAGCGUCAAGGAACACCCGAAAUACGCCGCCCGCCCCGGGAUGCCCCGUCCGCGGUGCGCUCCAGGGGAUCGGGCGCGCGUCGAAUUCGAAACGACUCUCGGCAACGGAUAUCUUGGCUCUCGCAUCGAUGAAGAACGCAGCAAAAUGCGAUACUUGGUGUGAAUUGCAGAAUCCCGUGAACCAUCGAGUUUUUGAACGCAAGUUGCGCCCGAGGCCUCCACGCCGAGGGCACGUCUGCCUGGGCGUCACGCGCAGCGUCGCCCUCCACCCCCGCGGGGUGCUGGGCCGGAGAUUGGCCUCCCGUGCGCACCCGCGCGCGGCCGGCCCAAAUGCGAUUCGGCACCGGCGCGUGCCGCGACGAUUGGUGGUUGAAGACCUCAACUCGCGCGUCGUCGUGCGGUAGCGCGCCGUCAGCCCGGAAUGCUCCGACCCCCCCGGUGCUCCGCACCUCCGAAGCGACCCCAGGUCAGGCGGGAUCACCCGCUGAGUUUAAGCAUAUCAAUAAGCGGAGGA
rnacentral:rRNA from 1 species